GCUCUGACGCGAUUCUAACGCGACUCCGGAAGCGCGCGGCGAGCCGUGGGUGGGUGCAGGUGGCGGUCCCGGAGGCGGCCCCGUGAGGGCUGAGCUGCCGCUCCCUGGAACCGAGCGGGGUGGGCUCGGUCCCACGCGUACCAUGGCCGAGUGCGUAGGCCUGUCUCUGAGCGCGGGCCUAGCGUGGAUGGGAUGGGCGCUACACAGCUCCAAGUUACGCGAUUCAAACUCUUGGAAUAAACCCAGGGCAGCCCUGGGGCUGUGUUGAUUCCCUGUCUCGCUCCCUCCCAGCAUUUACAGAAAAGACGCAUUUAUAGGAAAGACGUACGGGCAGGUCCAGCAGAGCCCUUACAAGCAUUUCAGCCUUUUAGAAAUCAGGUUUAUUGCACGUCUGACAUGGAUGGACCCAGCUAGAUAUCUUGCCAACGGCUCCUGUGGCCCCACUCAGAAGCCAUGCAGCACAAAAGGACCAAAAGGACAGCUAGAUUUCAUCAAUCUUUCACCAACCAAUCAGCACUCCCCAUACCUUAGCCCCCUGCUCACCAAACUAUCUUUGAAAAACCCCUAACCUGUGAGCCUUCAGUUGUAACCAAGCAGCUUAGCAGCUGUGAAUCCAAAAUAUCUGAGACAGGUCUCCAUCA